UACGAAGGGGGCUAGCGUUGUUCGGAAUUACUGGGCGUAAAGGGCGCGUAGGCGGUGUGUCAAGUCAGGCGUGAAAUCCCCGGGCUCAACCUGGGAACUGCCUUUGUGACUGCAAGGCUUGAGUGCGGCAGAGGGGGAUGGAAUUCCGCGUGUAGCAGUGAAAUGCGUAGAUAUGCGGAGGAACACCGAUGGCGAAGGCAAUCCCCUGGGCCUGCACUGACGCUCAUGCACGAAAGCGUGGGGAGCAAACAGG
rnacentral:rRNA from 1 species